GGAUGUGAGGGCGAUCUGGCUGCGACAUCUGUCACCCCAUUGAUCGCCAGGGUUGAUUCGGCUGAUCUGGCUGGCUAGGCGGGUGUCCCCUUCCUCCCUCACCGCUCCAUGUGCGUCCCUCCCGAGGCUGCGCGCUCGGUCGAAGAGGACGACCAUCCCCGAUAGAGGAGGACCGGUCUUCUGUCAAGGGUAUACGAGUAGCUGCGCUCCCCUGCUAGAACCUCCAAACAAGCUCUCAAGGAAUUGGAAGGUAAAUGGCAGAAGAAAUGGCUUAACAAUUUGUACAUGGUUUCUUGUGACUUCUUAUGACUGUAUAAGACCAGGGAGCAA
ensembl:misc_RNA 7SK 7SK RNA